UUGGCAGAACUGUCACUGUUGGCUGAGUCUAGUUCUCAGUAUCUUCGGUUGCAAACUUUCCCUGUUCGUGUAUGGAACUCUAAUUAUCUUCAUUUUCCAAAAUUCCUGUGAUUUCAUCAUGGUGGGAUCUGUCUGCCAAGCAUGACGCGUCUGCUUUGUUCUUCUGCUGACUGAGGAGGAGGAGGAGGAGGAGGAGGAGGAGAGGAGGAGGAAUCGGCGCGUGGUUAUCGAAAAUAAUUGUUGGGCAAAAAUGAGGACCAACUGCUUUCUUUCUCUGCUAAACAAGGGGUUAUUCAGGAGUUGAUCAUGGUGAAAAAACAACUACUCACUCUGUCACGAAAGCAACUCAGAGUAUGGUCCGUGCAAUGAAUGACUGACUGCCUAGUGAAACUACACUAAAUUUUUUGUCUUUGAUCAGUGAAACGGAGUACAUAACUUCAUAAGUAUCAUCGUCAACAGAUGUAAUUUGCAACAAAGUCCAGUUGUCCUCACUGUGCAAUACAAGACAAGACCAAUCAACCUAUGGUGCUUCCAUUGUUCCUCACUCUGGCAUUGUGAAGGGAAGAGGACAUUCCUAUAAUCAGUUGAAAACCUUUGAGGGACUGUACCUGCCAUCUCCAGCUUUAGAAACUUUGGAGAGAAAUCAGUCUCAAAUAUCUGUAGGUCUGGGUCACUCGAUCACCAGAUAAUUAGCAGUUCAGAAAACGAGUUAACUAAGCACAAACUGCAAAUGACACAGCCAUUUGCCAUCAUUGCCAAUGCCUAUUGCUAUGAAUUUAAGAGGGAGAAAAAAGCAUAUUUCAAUUGGCCUUCAAGUGUUCUUUCCUUAAUUGAAUGAAAACGUCUACAUUCAUGUGACAAUUUUCAACAUAAUAUUCCCAAGUAAAAAUGUAAUGAAAGUAACAUAACUUGCAUAAAAGGUUGACUGAAAUGUAUCUGAAAAUUUCCAGUUACAGAAUCAAAUUUUAUUAGCUUGGCUACCAAUAAAAGCAACAUUUACUGAUUACAACAGAUUUCGUAUUAACCUUGUGAUGGUUAAUCCAUUGAUAAUUCAUUCAGUUAAUCCAAUGAUGGUAAUUCUUCCUUUUAAUUAAACUACUGUAGCUACGAGAUAUCAAUCACUAACCGAGAUUACCACAGAGAUUUUGUAGAGUAACUUUCUGAUCUAGUUUAAAAAUACUCCACUGUUCAUCCAUUGACGAUCGUCACUUAAUUCUUUUAAAUUAAACUAGCUAUGAAAAGGAGUUCACUUUGAAAAUUUAGUCAGUCAUGUAUCACAUAAUGGAAUUACUUAUUUAUUAAACUUACUAGCCAUAUUGAGAAAUAUAAAAUUACUAGAAUUACCUCUCUAGUACAUACACUGAGAAAUAUAAAAUUACUAGAAUUACCUCUCUAGUACAUACAGUAUGUUCAUGAAACCUCUGAUGACAUGUAUGACUACAGUUUUGACAAGGUUUAGAGUCUACUUAUAACUGAAGUACCAUCUAAAAAGCUGAAAAGUUGAAAGGUACACAUGUUGAAAGACCAUAAAAGUUAAGAUUUAGUACUAUACUUCAAUACUGUAUACAUACUACGUGAUGCAUAAAAGACUUCUGAUUCAUGAAUCACCACCAUCAACAUACUUUUACUAAACAUUUUCAUUUUACAAGCGUAAUUAGUGUUAAAAGUUCCAUUUAAAAAUAGGAAGUUCUGAUGUGAGGGGAAAAAUAUGAAUUACAUCAGAGUUAACAGACA